rnacentral:piRNA from 1 species
UCAGAAAUCUGAGGAAAGGUGCUUUCAUAG